GAGUACUUUACUAACUAUUACAAUAGUUUUCAUCAUUUUCAUUUCCAUCAUUCUCUUUAAAUGAAUACAUUUUUCAUCUCAAAAUGCAUAGCUCGCCAAGUCCUCACCUACAAUGAAUCUCUCGAAUACAUAGGUGUACUAAUGCAAAAAGGAAAGCUACUAACUACCACGGUCUCACUGAUCGGGCGCGAUGCCCUUGCCGCGGUCCUCCCUCGGCAACCCUGUACCUACCACUGGAAAUAGAGUAGGGUGAGAACUAUUUUCGAUAGUUCCCAGUGGGCUCGGCCGCCGACUCUGCCGAUCUCCCCACUAGGUCCUGGGCACAAGUAACAACAGAUAGAUAAAUAGAUAUGUAUCUGAAAACUGUAAAUGCAAUCGUAGGAAAACUAUGCUACUAUGCCUAUAAUCAUGAAUAUGAAUGCAUGCAUCAUAUAAUAAAGGUUUGCUACCAUGCUAACAAAUUCGAUCCAUGUUCGAAUAGCAAUGUUCAAUGACAUUAUUAAACCUUUACUCUUUCCAUUUACCCAAUCUGUAGCGAGGCCCUAGGGCUCGCCCAUAACUCACCCUUCAAUCCCAAAGUGGGGAGGGAGCUCCAAGUGCACCCAAGCCCGGGACCGUCUGCGGACCUCCAUAUGGUCCGGACCUCCAAGUGGUCCUAGUCGCGCGACACUCCGGAGUACUCGACGACAAUCCCCUCCAUGUGGGGAUUGGAUGGCUAUACCAUCCCAACGCAGACUGUGAGCUAGAUCUAUCCUCUCUAAGUGAGGAUGCCCUGCAUCUAGGGUCAAC
rnacentral:lncRNA from 1 species